GAUGAACGCUGGCGGCGUGCUUAAUACAUGCAAGUCGAGCGAACGGACGAGAAGCUUGCUUCUCUGAUGUUAGCGGCGGACGGGUGAGUAACACGUGGAUAAUCCACCUAUAUGACUGGGAUAACCUCGGGACACCGGAGCUAAUACCGGAUGAUAUUUUGAACCGCAUGGUUCAAAAGUGAAAGACGGUCUUGCUGUCACUUAUAGAUGGAUCCGCGCUGCAUUAGCUAGUUGGUACGUUAACGGCUUACCAAGGCAACGAUGCAUAGCCGACGUGAGAGGGUGGUCGGCCACACUGGAACUGGAACACGGUCCAGAGUCCUACGGGAGGCAGCAGUAGGGAAUCGUCCGCAAUAGGCGAAAGCCUGACGGAGCAGCGCCACGUGAGAGAUGAAGGUCUUCGGAUCGUAAAGCUCUGUUAUUAGGGAAAAACAUAUGUGUAAGUAACUGUACACAGCUUGACGGUACCUAAUCAGAAAGCCACGGCUAACUACGUG
rnacentral:rRNA from 1 species